CCCAUGGAGUCUAUUCAUCUUUAGGGUCCCUAAGGUUUUUAAUUCCUCCAUCUCAAAUUCUAGUAAUCAAAUCAGGGUUCUUCUGAAUUAUACAUCUCUUUUAAACAAUUUCAACUUUUAUCGUUAAUUAUGUACUUUAAUGCAUGAUUAAAUGUUAAUACAUUAUAAUCAAUUGAAAUUACAUUGACCCAUGCAAGAUUCAUGAUUUUCAACUAUGAAACUUUGAAGAACCCAUGAACCUAUGAGUUGUGAAUUUUUGAAGUUUAUGAAUGUCUCAUGAAAAUGAAAAUGAUGUUUAUGAUGAUAGAGAAGUUUUAGAUGGAUGUAUCAAUGUUUUUGUGAAAGUAUUACUCACACAAGAAUAUGAUCAUGAUUUGCGAAAGGUAUUCUCACAUAUUGAUUCACAAUGAUGAUACUACCUCUCACUAGUUGAUCAUUCUAUUAGGUUUGCGAGUUGGUGAAUCCUCAUGUUCCGAGUAUAUGGAACAUUUGAAGAGCACAUGCCAGAAGGAAUGGCAACGAGAAUAUGCAAUAAGAAUCUCCUCAAGCUCUUCAAGUUUCGGCCGACCUUUUGGCCGAAGAAGUGACUGAUGUAGAUUUUUGAGCUACUUUUCAAGCAUUUGCUCAAGUCAUUAGGGAUGCUAGAGUGAGGGGCUUCAAUUGAAUGAAUCCCCCCGAAAUUUUAUGGUUCUAAGGUUGAGGAAGAUACCGAAUAGUUCAUAAAUAAUAUGUAUAAGGAUUUGGUUAUGAUGGAGUGAAUCCAUUGGAAAAGAUGGAACUGGUCACUUAUAAACUUAACGAUGUCACUCAAGUUUGAUUGAACCAAAGGAAGAGAGGACAGUUGAUGUGGGUCGCCUUGAUCGGGAGAGGUUUGAAGUCUAUUUUCUUGAUAGAUUCGUUCUCAUUGUUAAGUGGGAGGCCAAGUUACUUGAAUUCAUUAACCUUCAUCAAGGGAAUACGAGUGUGAAACAUUAUGCCUUAUUAUUCAUGCAAUAUUCCAAGUAUGCUCCUUCUAUGGUUGCUGAUUUCAGGUCAAAGAUGAGAAAAUUUAUUCAAGAGUAUCCAAAAUGGUAAUUACUGAAUGUUGUACAACCAUGAUCAUUAAGGAAAUGAAAUUUUAUCAUUUAAUGGUUCUUUCUGGAAAAAUUAAAGAGUAGAAGCUUAAGGAAAGGUCUAGGGAGGCAAAGAGGACGAAAAUCGGUGAUGUUGACUUUACACAUUCAAUGUUUGAUGGAGGUCAUUUUAGGUUCCAACAAAGGUAUUCUGGACUGGGAUUCUCUAAUCCUCUGACUCCCAAGUUAAAAAAGAAUGUGUGCUUUAACCUAAGACUUAAGGAGGAUAUUGUGGUGGAAAUGGAUCUUUUGUUCUAGCAGGCCAAAAGUGUUCCAAUAGUCAUGCGGGAAAAUGUUGGAUUGAUAGAGAUAAUUGUUUUAGUUUUGGUAAAAUUGGUGACACUUGAGAUAUUGUCCAUCUAAAAAUUAAAAGGGAAUAUAUGGUAGGCUAUCUCCGUUUAGUUGUUUAGUUCAAGUUCUACGUAGCGAAACCGAUUCUACGCACUUAAAACUCGUCAUGAUCAAGAGAAUUCUCUUGAUAUUGUUACCGAUAUGUUGAAAGACAUUCAUCAUUAUGUUUAUGCUUUGCUUGAUCCCGGUGCUACAUUUUAUUUUGUGAUACAAUAUGUGGCUAUGAAAUUUGAUGUUUCUCCGAUGUAUUAUUACACCCUUUUUCUUUUCUAUUGGUAAA